CAAAAAUAUAAUUAGUUUGAAAAAAAAAAAAAUUUUAAUUUGUAGAUAUUCAGCCAUGUCAAAUAUACCCUUAAUAUUGUCAUUAUUAUUAUCAUUAUUAUUGCAUUCAUCAUCAAAUGGCAGACAAUCCUUACAAAAAAUGAGUAUUACACUAAUUAAAAUUUAGACUUGGUAAGAGGCCGAUGGCUGUAUGAAAACCUUACCACAACUUCCCUUCCCAUAGUUCCAAAUGGCAUCCAUCAAUAUGAAACAUAUACUGAUAUUCUGACAGCGCAUUUGUUAAUGAGUAAAUCAAAUGCAGCACAUAAAUGCAAUCCUAACUUGGCCAAAUCAUCAAUUGCUG
rnacentral:lncRNA from 1 species